rnacentral:tRNA from 3 species
GGAGAGGUGCGAGAGUGGUUGAAUCGGUCUUCCUGCUAAGAAGUUGUACCUCAUAAGGGUACCGAGGGUUCGAAUCCCUCCCUCUCCG